AUACUGCAAGUCGAACGCGCGGAUCAGGAGCUUGCUCUGUGACGCGAGUGGCGGACGGGUGAGUAACACGUAGGCAACCUGCCCAUCAGACUGGGAUAACCACGGGAAACCGUGGCUAAUACCGGAUAAUCCUUUUCCACACAGGUGGAAAGUUGAAAGGCGGCCUUUUGGCUGCACUGAUGGAUGGGCCUGCGGCGCAUUACUGGUUGGUGGGGUAACGGCCCACCAGGCGACGAUGCGUACCGACCUGAGAGGGUGAUCGGCCACACUGGGACUGAGACACGGCCCAACUCCUACGGGAGGCAGCAGUAGGGAAUCUUCCGCAAUGGACGAAAGUCUGACGGAGCAACGCCGCGUGAGUGAAGAAGGGUUUCGGCUCUAAAACUCUGUUGUCAGGGAAGAACGCCGACGGGAGUAACUGCCCGUCGGGUGACGGUACCUGACCAGAAAGCCACGGCUAACUACGUGCCAGCAGCCGCGGUAAUACGUAGGUGGCAAGCGUUAUCCGGAAUUAUUGGGCGUAAAGCGCGCGUAGGCGGUUCGUUAAGUCUGAUGUGAAAGCCCCCGGCUCAACCGGGGAGGGUCAUUGGAAACUGGCGGACUUGAGGCAAAGAGAGAGU
rnacentral:rRNA from 1 species